UACGAAGGGGGCUAGCGUUGUUCGGAUUUACUGGGCGUAAAGCGCACGUAGGCGGUUUGUUAAGUCAGGGGUGAAAUCCCGGAGCUCAACUCCGGAACUGCAUUCGAUACUGCGUGGCUAGAGUGCUGGAGAGGAGACUGGAAUUUACGGUGUAGCAGUGAAAUGCGUAGAUAUCGUAAGGAAGACCAGUGGCGAAGGCGAGUCUCUGGACAGCAACUGACGCUGAGGCACGAAGGCCAGGGGAGCAAACGGG
rnacentral:rRNA from 1 species